AACUAGAACCCUCAGGAGUAAAACUUUUAAUUUUACAUAGAUUCUUAUCUCUAGUUU
rnacentral:tRNA from 1 species